CGUCGUCUAUCUAAGAUGGUAUUAUCAAUGAAGGUGUAUGCCGACAUUUUGAGGUUACUGCUUUUUAUGUGUUGGAGUAGGAUAAUUUUCAUAUUGUAAAUUUGAUUUAUUAUUAAUUAUUAGUGUAAUUUA
rnacentral:rRNA from 1 species